rnacentral:rRNA from 1 species
AGUAAUGUAUGGGGAUCUGCCUGAUGGCGGGGGAUAACUACUGGAAACGGUAGCUAAUACCGCAUAAUGUCUGCGGACCAAAGCGGGGGGACCGUCCGGGCCUCGCGCCAUCAGAUGAACCCAUAUGGGAUUAGCUAGUAGGUAAGGUAACGGCUUACCUAGGCGACGAUCCCUAGCUGGUCUGAGAGGAUGAUCAGCCACACUGGGACUGAGACACGGCCCAG